UAGGGAAGCUUCCACAAUGGGCGAAAGCCUGAUGGAGCAACACCGCGUGUGUGAUGAAGGCUUUCGGGUCGUAAAGCACUGUUGUAUGGGAAGAACAGCUAGAAUAGGAAAUGAUUUUAGUUUGACGGUACCAUACCAGAAAGGGACGGCUAAAUACGUGCCAGCAGCCGCGGUAAUACGUAUGUCCCGAGCGUUAUCCGGAUUUAUUGGGCGUAAAGCGAGCGCAGACGGUUUAUUAAGUCUGAUGUGAGAGCCCGGAGCUCAACUCCGGAAUGGCAUUGGAAACUGGUUAACUUGAGCGCAGUAGAGGUAAGUGGAACUCCAUGUGUAGCGGUGGAAUGCGUAGAUAUAUGGAAGAACACCAGUGGCGAAGGCGGCUUACUGGACUGCAACUGACGUUGAGGCUCGAAAGUGUGGGUAGCAAACAG
rnacentral:rRNA from 1 species